rnacentral:lncRNA from 1 species
UCGUUUCUCCCCUCCGAUAGCAUAUAUUCUAAUAAGUAAUAACUAUACUGACAUUCCCCUAUAAAAAAAUAAAUACAUCUAAAAAUAUUCUAAAAGUGAAUUUUGGAAUAUAACACGAGUUUACUUUCUAUACAUAUCAUCCAAUCAAAUCUUAUCAUCUAAAUAUGUCCUAAAUCUUAUUUCCGAAAAUACCUACACAAAUAUCAAAAUGAUAAUAUCUAAUAAAU